rnacentral:rRNA from 1 species
GACGAACGCUGGCGGCGUGCUUAACACAUGCAAGUCGAACGGAAAGGCCCUGCCUUUGUGGGGUGCUCGAGUGGCGAACGGGUGAGUAACACGUGAGUAACCUGCCCUUGACUUUGGGAUAACUUCAGGAAACUGGGGCUAAUACCGGAUAGGAGCUCCUGCUGCAUGGUGGGGGUUGGAAAGUUUCGGCGGUUGGGGAUGGACUCGCGGCUUAUCAGCUUGUUGGUGGGGUAGUGGCUUACCAAGGCUUUGACGGGUAGCCGGCCUGAGAGGGUGACCGGGCACAUUGGGACUGAGAUACGGCCCAGACUCCUACGGGAGGCAGCAGUGGGGAAUAUUGCACAAUGGGCGGAAGCCUGAUGCAGCAACGCCGCGUGCGGGAUGACGGCCUUCGGGUUGUAAACCGCUUUCGCCUGUGACGAAGCGUGAGUGACGGUAAUGGGUAAAGAAGCACCGGCUAACUACGUG